AUUGACCUACGGGGCGCAGCAGUAGGGAAUAUUGCUCAAUGGGGGAAACCCUGAAGCAGCAACGCCGCGUGGAGGAUGAAGGUUUUCGGAUUGUAAACUCCUUUUGUUAGAGAAGAUAAUGACGGUACCUAUCGAAUAAGCACCGGCUAACUCCGUGCCAGCAGCCGCGGUAAUACGGAGGGUGCAAGCGUUACUCGGAAUCACUGGGCGUAAAGAGCGCGUAGGCGGGAUAGCAAGUCAGAUGUGAAAUCCUAUGGCUUAACCAUAGAACUGCACUUGAAACUGUUAUUCUAGAGUAUGGGAGG
rnacentral:rRNA from 1 species